GAGAGCCGUAUGCGGGAGAUCCGCCUUUACGGUUCGGAGGCAGGGGAGGCAAAAUCUUUCCUAUCUCUAACAAAUUAGGAAUUUUGAAAAUUUUCAUAAGGAGGUGAGUAAUAACAAAUAUAUAAGUAGUAAGUUUGCUAUCUCCGC
rnacentral:ncRNA from 1 species